AGCUUUGCGCAGUGGUGAUAUCGUAACCGAUGAGGUUCGUCCCAAAUGCGGUUAUUGAUAGUCGAAAAAACUUUAACCAAUAGUCCACCACGCGUAGACAUGAAACACUGUCCGCGUAGAUAAUUUUAUAUGCUCUAACGGGC